rnacentral:rRNA from 1 species
AACGAACGCUGGCGGCAGGCCUAACACAUGCAAGUCGAGCGGUAAGGCCCUUUCGGGGGUACACGAGCGGCGAACGGGUGAGUAACACGUGGGCGACCUACCCUCAGCUUCGGGAUAAGCCUGGGAAACUGGGUCUAAUACCGGAUAUGACCUUCCCUCGCAUGGGGGUUGGUGGAAAGUUUUUUCGGCUGGGGAGUGGGCCCGCGGCCUAUCAGCUUGUUGGUGGGGUGAUGGCCUACCAAGGCGACGACGGGUAGCCGGCCUGAGAGGGCGACCGGCCACACUGGGACUGAGAUACGGCCCAGACUCCUACGGGAGGCAGCAGUGGGAAUAUUGCGCAAUGGGCGGAAGCCUGACGCAGCGACGCCGCGUGGGGGAUGACGGCCUUCGG